CUCUCGCCUCUCUCUCUCUCAACCCAAUAGCAGCUGAAAACCAGAUGCAAAAGAGAGCAUUCCUUCUCAUGAUUUUCUCAAUUUUCAGUUCUAGAUCUUCUCAAACUCGCCUCUGAGCUACUUUGCAUCUCGAUAGAUAGUGAAAGGGAGAGGGAGGGAGAGAGCCAUGAAAAAACCUCUGUUUUUUCUCAUUUUCCUUACAGCCUUUGUCCCUAUCCUUCUUGAAUUGGGAGCGGAAGCUUCUCCGACAGGACCCCUGAUAAAGCACUUAUCUUCUUUCCUCAAAUGGUCUAGAGCUUCUCCAAAAGCGCCUCAAAUCGAUGGGAAUGUUCUUCAGUUUGAAAAUGGGUAUUUGGUUGAGACUGUUGUGGAGGAAGGGAACAAGCUUGGCGUUGAGCCGCAUUCCAUUCGGGUCUCGCCAGAUGGAGAGCUAUUUGCGGUUGACGCUGUGAACAGUAACAUUGUUCGGAUAACUCCUCCGCUAUCCCAAUAUAGCAGGGCAAGAUUGGUUGCUGGGUCAUUUCAGGGUUACUCGGGCCAUGUAGAUGGAAAACCUAGUGACGCUCGUUUUAAUCAUCCAAAGGGUGUCACCAUGGAUGAUAAAGGGAAUGUAUAUGUCGCAGAUACUUUGAAUUUCGCUAUCAGAAAGAUAGGAGAAGCAGGUGUUACAACAAUUGCUGGAGGGAAAUCAAAUGCACCAGGGUACAGGGAUGGGCCCAGCGAGCAUGCAAAAUUUUCUAACGACUUUGACGUUGUAUAUGUUGGUCGUACCUGUUCCUUGUUAGUUGUUGAUAGAGGCAAUGCGGCUCUUCGACAGAUUUCUCUUCACCAAGAAGACUGUGAUUCCGAGAAUAGCUCAAUUUCUGCCACAGCUUCCUAUAGAGGCAAUGCGGCUCUUCGACAGAUUUCUCUUCACCAAGAAGACUGUGAUUCCGAGAAUAGCUCAAUUUCUGCCACAGAUAUUAUUCUGGUUGUCGGUGCAGUUUUGGUGGGAUAUAUUUCUUGUGGUCUUCAGCAUGGAUUUGGACCUUCCUUUUUCUCAAAGAAGAAAGAAGCCUCGGAGAUUGAAUUUCAAGACGAAUCUCCCACAAUGGAGAAGCCUACUCUCAUCGUGGAGACCCUAAAAGAAGACCCAGAUGCUGGCUGGCCUUCCUUUGGAAGGCUUGUCAUUGAUUUGUUUAAACUAGCAAUCGAAGCACUUGGUAACAUCUUUCUUUACUUCAUCCCUCUCAGACUCAAGCAUUGGAGAUCGAAGAAAGGCCCAACUCCAAUCAAAGACUCUCUAGUGAUGCCUGAGGACAAAGCGGAAUCACCGCCAUUAGUGCAAAAACAUAGAAGUCCUUCACCUCUUUCUGAAUCGCUGCAUGCUCCAAGUGCAAGUAAUAUCUAUGCCCAGCAGAAGCCCCAGAAGACUAAAUCAGCAUCGUUGAAGGAUCCUUCCUUGUCUGGUAAGCAUAGGUCUUCAAAGCGGCAAGACUUCUCAGAAUUCUAUGGAUCAGGUGAGGCUCCUCAAUACAGCCAGUUGAGUUCAAAGAGCCAGAAGGAUCGAUCAGUGUCAAGUGAGGCUCCUCAGUACAGCCCCUUGAGUUCAAAGAGCCAGAAAGAUCGAACAGUGUCCAGUGAAGCUCCUCAGUACAGUCACUUGAGUUCAAAGAGCCAGAAGGAUCGAGCAGUGUCAAGUGAGGCAGCUCAGUACGGUCAGUUCAGUUCUAAGAGCCAGAAAGAUCGAACUAGGCACCGCCACCGUGAUAAAAGUGGGGAAGUGGUUUUUGGGGCUACUGGGGUGGAACCGAAACCCAUUGAGAUCAAGUCAGUGGACUAUGGUGAUCCAAUGUUCAAUCACUACAACAUCAGGACCAAGUUUGGGACGGAAGAUCUCUUCCGUUUUUGAAUGCUUUCAUGGCCGCACUUCUUUUCCCAGAAAUAACUGUCAUGGCUGGAUUGGCCUUUUCUCCUAUGAGGAUGGUCUUCCUUGCUUUUGUUCUCACCUUCCAGCUUUUAGCAUUGAAAGAACUAAGUUGCAUCUAAACAUACAGAGUUCAGGCUCUGUUUGGAUGCACACGAAUUGCAAUAACAAGUGAAAAUAAUGGAAAUGACCAGAUUGCAUCCAGGGCACAACUCGUGUGGGUUGGGUUUGGUUAAUGGUCAACCCGGGCUCAAGAGGACCCAACUCUCAACCGGACCAGACUUGAAUUCCAUUUCAACCGGAGGUCUUAUGUAUACUCUAUUCAACCUGGGUAGAGUGUGAAUGUAAGUGAAAAUAUCUAGAAAUGAAAAUAAAUUUAAAAACAAUUAUAAUAAUGUAAGAUAUUGAAAAUUUUAAAUUUUACUAAGCUUUCUUUC